GGAAGAGCCUAUACAGAAUUAAGGCCUGGAAGUAAGAGUGUUUUCAAAGAUCUAGAAGUGCUUUGAUUAUGCAAGUGGAAAAGGCUGUUUGAAUGGGGAAAACCACUAGAGCUUCUCUGGGCCCAGAUCCUGCAGGCUCUUGUUGAGCCACAAGGAGUUUAGGUCCCUCUUCACAGCACAGAGAGCCACCGGUGAGGCCUUUCAGCAAGGAGCCACUUGAUCAUGGUGCUUCCUGAAGUCUGCUAGAACCUCAGCGUGCCAGCCCUGGAGGUCAGAGAGGACACAGCAGGGACCAGAGAGGUGUCGGGGUGCCGGAAAACUCUGUUCACGCUGGAACAACACUGGUUUCUGUGCCACUGGGCGUAAGCAGAGCAGAGGUGAGAUCCUAUCUCCACACCUGAGAGCAGCCAUCCAGGAGAGGAACUAGCCAAGAACGGGAGGAAUGACCAUCUCAUAAGGGGAUGUCCAGGGUUCAGGCUCAGGAGACAAGGAAGGGGUCAGAUAUGCAGAUUGUCUCCAUUCUGCCGUUAGCACCUGCUUGCUGGCAUUUGAAUUUUUACAUUCUGUAAUCCUUCAUCCAGCUAUUAAAAUUGAUAAGUCCUUCAUACUGUACCAUACUUAAGGGGGUGGAGGAUGGGCCAUAAGCCACAGGUAGAACAUCUAGCACAGAAGCCAAAAGGGCUGGCAUGCUAUGGCCCAGAUUGGGCCUUGUCUUAGUCUUCUUUUCCCCUGCCUCACCUCCAUCCUUUUUUCAUGUUGCUUUAACAAAACACCUGAGACUGGGAAAGUUAUAAACCACAGAAGCUUAUUGGCUCAUAGCUCUGGUGGAGAGAGCUGCAAGGAGUUUGGAAAGAAGGUCUUGCCUGCUGCUGGCAACAAUCCAAGGUCCUCAUUUCUUCCCACUCCGGCACCAGCUUGCCAAGUUAGCCCCCAGGUCUCUUUCUCCUGCAAACACGGCCCUGGUCUAGACAGAAGAACUGUAUCAGCCAAUUACCAGCCCCUGGAAAAGAGCCUCAGCCCGACAUGUGGGGACGAAGCCAAGAGUCGUAGUCUGGCCCCUAGACAGAACAGCACAGCCACGCAUCCCUUCCACUCUCUGUGUGGAGCAGUCCCACGAAAACAAACUGUGAGGACUGAGGUGGGAGCAGGGAGUUCCUCAAGGAAAAUGGAGUGAUUUGUCCAAGAAGCAAGCUCAGCUAACAUACAAGAAACUCCUGUGAUGUCCGCCUGCACCCAAGCCCACCAUCCAACUCCACACCACCGUGAUUGCACCUGCCCUGAACUUCAGUCUCCCCACCUUGGGCAUCUUCCAGGGAGCCCUGAAUGAUUUCAACUUUAAAAGAGAACAGAGCUUCAUUGGAGAGACGGUUUGGAGGGCAAAGGUGCUUUCUGCACAGUGUGACCACCUGACUGUGGUCCUCAAAACCCCCAGAGAGAUGGAAGUAGGGAACUGACUCCAUAAAAUUGUCCUCUGACCUCCACAUACUCACUGUGGCACACAUGUGCCCACUCACCCACACAUAUCAGACACUCACAUAAGCACAAACACACAUGAAGCAUUAAAAUUAAUAAUAAUAAUAAUAAAUACCUCCAUGCCACUCACUUCCAGCCCAUAAAAUCCAAGGUAGAAGAAACUCAAUAGCUUCUUGCUCUGAGCCUAUUAUAACUCACCUGCUCAAGUCUCCUUCCCAUCACUCAGUUGACAAGCAUCCCAG
rnacentral:lncRNA from 1 species